rnacentral:rRNA from 1 species
UACGGGGGGGGCAAGCGUUGUUCGGAAUUACUGGGCGUAAAGGGCUCGUAGGCGGCCAACUAAGUCAUACGUGAAAUCCCUCGGCUUAACCGGGGAACUGCGUCUGAUACUGGAUGGCUUGAGUUCGGGAGAGGGAUGCGGAAUUCCAGGUGUAGCGGUGAAAUGCGUAGAUAUCUGGAGGAACACCUGUGGCGAAGGCGGCUAUCUGGUCCAAUUCUGACGCUGAGGCGCGAAAGGUAGGGGAGCAAACAGG